rnacentral:lncRNA from 1 species
GGUUUGGUUCUGUGCCUAGAAGAAGAGGCCUUUCCCACAUGCUUCCUGCCGACGGUGGCCUCGUAAGGUGCGGUAUGCGGACUCAAAGAGACGCUUGCCAUACGUCCCCACGGACGAGGUUCCGCACGUGUGUGCAUCUUGGCUCUGUGCUAGGCAGUGUUAUUCUCUGUGGUAUUUUUUACCAUGCGUUGGUAGACAAUUCUACGGCAAUCGCGGACGCUAGAGAAGUAGGGGAAAAGGGCAAUGCAGAUCUGGAGUCGCCAGUCAGGCACAACGAGAACCCCCCGCGGAAGAACGUCCGCCGCAAACGGAAUGCCACGUCUUACAAAAAAUCUCACCCAGAAGUUGUAACCGGGAUGUUGUGGGCAACAUGGUUGAUGAUGCUCCUUUCCGUGGUCGGGAGCGUAGGAUAUUACGGCGCGGCACGACGCAACCUGCGUUUCGCUUGAUACUGAAGGAAUUAGCCAAAACAGCCAUGGAGAUAAUGAGCUUCACUGACGGCGGUUCUGGCAAUCCCUUCCGAGAAUAUAAACGCCCGGGGGUUCUAGGGAAUGGGGAAACCGACACUGCAGCCCUCACUGUGUGGGCGAAUGCUGUCUGAGACUUCCAGUCACUGUGUGGGCGAAUGCUGUCUCAGACUUCCAGUCACUGUGUGGGCGAAUGCUGUCUCAGACUUCCAGUCACUGUGUGGGCGAAUGCUGUCUCAGACUUCCAGUCACUGUGUGGGCGAAUGCUGUCUCAGACUUCCAGUCACUGUGUGGGCGAAUGCUGUCUCAGACUUCCAGUCACUGUGUGGGCGAAUGCUGUCUCAGACUUCCAGUCACUGUGUGGAAAUCAGUAAGCCAAAGGGUGCUUGAUGUUGCGGUUUCUCAUACCACCGUCUUCCCGCACCGAAAAUGCAACAGCUACACUGUGAAGCUUGCGUGGUGCACGCAGGGGCAAGUCAUCACCCAAAAGCAACGGUAAAGACAAUUUUGUUUGUUUUUUACAAGUGUCCGUGCCCUGAUCGGUUCGAAACAUACACGUGCAGCGACAUCAAACACUGCAGAGCAGAA